UACGAAGGGGGCUAGCGUUGUUCGGAAUUACUGGGCGUAAAGGGCGCGUAGGCGGUGUGUCAAGUCAGGCGUGAAAGCCCCGGGCUCAACCUGGGAACCGCGCUUGAGACUGGCACGCUAGAGUUCGGGAGAGGAUGGUGGAAUUCCCAGUGUAGAGGUGAAAAUUCGUAGAUAUUGGGAAGAACACCGAUGGCGAAGGCAGCCAUCUGGACCGACACUGACGCUGAGGCGCGAAAGCGUGGGGAGCGAACAGG
rnacentral:rRNA from 1 species